GCGGCAAGAGCUCAAAUUUGAAAUCUGGCUCCUUCGGGGCCCGAGUUGUAAUUUGUAGAGGAUGCUUCGGGCGUGGCCGCGGUCUAAGUCCCCUGGAACGGGGCGUCGCAGAGGGUGAGAAUCCCGUCUUCGGCCGGCCGGCCCCGCCCGUGUGAAGCUCCUUCGACGAGUCGAGUUGUUUGGGAAUGCAGCUCUAAAUGGGUGGUAAAUUUCAUCUAAAGCUAAAUACUGGUCGGAGACCGAUAGCGCACAAGUAGAGUGAUCGAAAGAUGAAAAGCACUUUGAAAAGAGAGUUAAACAGCAUGUGAAAUUGUUGAAAGGGAAGCGCUUGCGACCAGAGUCGGCCGCGGGGGCUCAGCGGGCACUCGUUGCCCGUGCACUCCCCCGUGGUCGGGCCAGCGUCGGUUUCGACGGCCGGUCAAAGGCCCCCGGAAUGUGUCGCCUCUCGGGGCGUCUUAUAGCCGGGGGUGCAAUGCGGCCAGUCGGGACCGAGGAACGCGCUCCGGCACGGACGCUGGCUUAAUGGUCGUAAGCGACCCGUCUUGAAACACGGACCAAGGAGUCUAACAUCCACGCGAGUGUUCGGGUGUCAAACCCG
rnacentral:rRNA from 1 species